UACGUAGGGGGCAAGCGUUGUCCGGAAUUAUUGGGCGUAAAGAGCUCGUAGGCGGCUUGUUGCGUCGACCGUGAAAACCCGUGGCUCAACUGCGGGCUUGCGGUCGAUACGGGCGGGCUAGAGUUCGGUAGGGGAGACUGGAAUUCCUGGUGUAGCGGUGAAAUGCGCAGAUAUCAGGAGGAACACCGGUGGCGAAGGCGGGUCUCUGGGCCGAUACUGACGCUGAGGAGCGAAAGCGUGGGGAGCGAACAGG
rnacentral:rRNA from 1 species